CUUUAUUGGGGUGCAUAAAGAAAAUAUCACCACAAGAAGUGAACAUACACCUGGAAGAGGUCAGAAAGUCAGGUGGCACUUUCUUUGGAACUGGAAGGGUGAAUAUAAUUUGAGCAAGAAAAGAAAGAAGAAUGUUCCAGAAAGUAACAGUUUGGUGAACUUCCCACAACAAGGGUCACCUCAAAUCCUUUCUUGGGCAAGGCAAGGAACACCUCCCAAGUCCAUGGGAUCACAUUGUCUUAGUUUAAGAAAUUGAUAGUUCCUGAUAUGAGGGAUUCACUUGAAACUUGAAUUUGAGUAUCACCCAGAGUUGAAGGAAGUUCCACUGAGGCCUUGCUCCUAUUAUUGGGUGUUGGGAACCAAAAAUUGGAUGGCUGCAC